GAAGUUAUGGAGAAUUGUUUCACUUGUGGCAGGGCACUGACAGUGGUUAUAACACGGGUGUUCUGUUUCAUACACCUUGACCACUUAGGUCUUAGAAGUUACCACAUAUGUAACUUGCCAUCAACCGAUCAGAACAAUAGUGGAAAAGAAUUUCAUGAACCUCGUUGUCAUGGUUACUUAGAAGAAGAUCGGAGAUUGACAUUCCAUCGAGGCCACCAAGCAACAGCUGGUACUUUGAUCCCUCCAUCCCAUGAAGAUGCUUUUCCUCCUGUAACAUUAAAAGUCCUUGAUCACCAUGUUUUACAGCAACAACAGUCGCUGUCCGCUUACAAGUUACCACGUAUGUAACUUAGGUGAUGGCUAUUUUAGAUUGCUGACUUUUAGACAAUUUCGACGACUCAUUAUUGACUACUGGCUGAAGCAACUGACAUUCCAAGUCUCCUGGCGGAGGACACAUUUGCCCACAAGGUGGCAGCAACAUGUUUUGUACCCAGAACCCUUUGCCACUGAAUAUAGCACUGGUUAAACUGUUUACAUUAACAGACACUUAAAGCACA